UACGUAGGGUGCAAGCGUUGUCCGGAAUUACUGGGCGUAAAGCGUGCGCAGGCGGUUCGUUAAGUCAGCUGUGAAAGCCCCGGGCUCAACCUGGGAACUGCAUUUGAAACUGGCGGGCUUGAGUGUGGCAGAGGGGGGUGGAAUUCCGCGUGUAGCAGUGAAAUGCGUAGAUAUGCGGAGGAACACCGAUGGCGAAGGCAAUCCCCUGGGCCUGUACUGACGCUCAUGCACGAAAGCGUGGGGAGCAAACAGG
rnacentral:rRNA from 1 species